AUUUGGAUGGGAGAAUAAUGUUAGACAAAAACAUAAAGCCUGGUGAUGUCAACUACUUCGCAGCUCUUUGCAUGAUGGCCUCUAAACUCGCUUAUGAGAAUGAAGCUCGCGUUAAAUACAUUGUCAACCAUAUUUGGAAGAUGGAAUUCAUGGAAUUCUUCAACUUUUGGAAUGAAUAUGAAGAAAAAUGCUCAACACAAGCAUUCAUGAUGCGAGAUAAGAAAGUUGAUCAUGACACCAUCAUUGUGUCCUUUAGAGGCACAGAGCCAUUCAAUGCCGAUGACUGGAGCUCUGAUUUUGACAUAUCUUGGUACGAGAUCAAAGGUGUCGGAAAAAUUCAUGGGGGAUUCAUGAAAGCACUUGGCUUACAAAAAUCCAUAGGAUGGCCUAAGAGAAUAGACCGACAAGACCAUGAAAGACGUCCUUUGGCCUAUUACACCCUAAGAAAAAAGCUAAAGAAACUUAUGAAAG
rnacentral:misc_RNA from 1 species